CCAGCUAAACAACACUGGGAGCACAAUGCUUUCUUCCCCUUUUUUUCCUUUUCCUCAUGCGUUUUUAUGAACAUCCACAGGGAAGAUAAUUAAAACCUGCAAGGAAACCAGCUGGCAGCGCAAAAGAAAAUCUUGGUGACUUGGGGACGACGCCACAUGUUUAUGGGAGCACAGCAGUGAUGUCGCCGAGGCUCUGCACCGGUGUGUGCACGGGUAUAGGUGCACACACACUCAGAAGAGGGACAACAAGGGAAGAGGAAGAGGCACAGGAGGGUCUUUAUUUAGCAAAGCGGAACAGAACAAAGGAGCGGGAGAGUGGCACCGCGUCACCUCUGAUUGGGUUUUCUGGCUACUAAGCGCAUAAACCUUAACUCGAAAGACAGAACUUCUGCCUUCCUCUCCCGGGUGCCGAGUGUUGUCUGAACGGCAUCAAGAUUUGGGGGAGCCAGUGUAAUCCCCUUUCAUUUUUCAUCUGCCUCGCUGACUGCAAAGAGAAACAGGGCCGCUCGCCUCUCCGCGUGUGACACCGGGCUUGAGGCACGCACAUUCCAGAGUGGCCUUCCCCAGGAGCCAGCUGUGUGCAGGAGGAGAAACGUGCACGCUGCAGGCAUCUGUCACCAAGGCCAUGCCAACUCCCCAGUGGGGCAACUGUACAGACAACCUCAGAAUGAGAUUUUAGAAAUGAUGGGAUUCUCCAAGAAGAAAAGAAGUCUUUCUGGAAGAAAAGGCAGAGCAAGCCUAAAAAAGCAAUAUAAAGCAUUCCUCUUUGCACCCCAUAAAAACCCAGCCCCUCUUCCCUCUUGGUAGAUAGAAAAGGAAAUACCGUGCUGACAAAAAUACAACUUCUGACAAGAUAUUUUAUUUGGCUUACCUCUCCCCCAGGUCUUGCUAACACUGCUGUUUGAACGUGGAGCAGUGUUAAUAUCAGGUAGCUGACAAACAUUAUUACCCAAAGUUAGAACCACCCUAGAGGAGAACUCCGUCUGCCAAGUGCUAACAGCUAGCAGAUGCACUUGUGUCUCGGGAUUCCAGCCCUGGAGUUCCGCUAGGCACUGCGCUGGUUCCCUCCGCUCUCCCUCACUGUACUACCCGGAGCUCCGAGCUCAGCCUCUGCUCUGAAGAAAACUGGUGGGUGGCUUGUUUCCACCUUUUGGCUCCUGUGAAGAAUGCUGCUCUGAACAUGAGUGUAUAAGUAUCUGUUUGAGUCCCUGCCCUCAGUUCUUUGGGGCACAUACCAAGGAGGAGAAGUGCUGUAUCAUACGGACCCAAUCCAGGAUCCCACACUGCAUUUAGUCAGCGUGUCUCCUCUGUUCCGUGACAGUUUUCUCACCCUUUGUCUUCGAAGAGUGUUUUCAAAGACACUUUCAAAGAGUCCUGGUCAGGCAUUUUGCGGAAUGUCCCUCAAUCUGGUUUUACCUGAUGUUUUCUCACGAUUAGACUGAAGUUACGGGUUUGGGGGAAGAACGCUGCAGAGGUAAAGUACCCUUCCCACCACGUCGUCAGGGGUAACCUAUAUGAACAUGACAUUAUGGUGAUGUUAUUAACCUUCAUUACUUGGUGAAGGUGGUGUCUUCCAGGUUUGCUCAUUGCGGAGUUAUUAUUUUUCCUUUUCUAUACCCUAUUCAUUAGAAGUGAGUCAGUGAGUCCAGAGGAAUUAAGCUCCACUUCCUGGAGGGGGGGGGGUAUCAAAGCACGUUUGGACAGAUGUUAAAACCAUCAUGAUAAUUAACACAUACUUUGGGGGAGAUACUUUGAAGCUAGGCAAAUAUCCCGUUUCUCAGAGUUUUGCCCACUAAUUUAAAUAUUCAGCAGCGGCUCUUUCCUGCAGGAAUUAUUACUGUAGGACUCUAAAUGCUGAUUUUCUGUCUCCCUCAUGCCUUCUACAUAUCUAUCAAUCAGAAUCCAUCAGUAUAGAAGAUUUGUUCCUCCUCUCGCCUUUAUGCAUUAAUCCAAUCAUUUAUUUAUUCUUCCCUGCUUCUUACAAUCUUUUGAUGGCUCAGGUAUGAAGUCCAAACUCCUUAUUAUGACACUUUGCAAUCUAGUCUCUUCUUGCCCUUCUAGCCUCCUCCCCCUCUCAUCUGUUCACACACACUCUACCCUGCAGACAUCUCCACACACAAGACAUUAUCCUCAAAUGCCAUGUGUCCUUGUGCUCUGUGCAUUCAUGUUAGUUCUUUUCUCUAGAAUGUCAUUCCCCCAUCCUCUGUGGGGUUAGCUCCAUCACUCUCUGCCUCUUUGAAAAUUCAGCUCGAGUUAUUUAUAAGCACCAAAUAUUGGAAGCCACCUAAAUGUUCACCAAUGAAGACUAAAUGAGUAAUUUGUGACAUCCAUAAGACGGGAUAUUCUACAGCAGGAAAAGAAAUAAAGAAAACAGGAAAAACAUGAACGUGCUUCCUUUGGAGUGAUAUGAAACAUUUCCAAGAUCUAUUCCUUAGCGAGAAAAGGUAGGAUGCACAGCAAUGUGAUUACUGUUCUAUUAUUUGCACAUGUAUGUUUACAAUUGCUGGUAUACCUAUCAACCAUCUGUGGAAGAACAUGCUAGAGACUAGCAAAACAUGGCUGCCUCCAGGGAAGGGAAGUCAGCAGCUUCAGGGCAGAGAUGGCAGGGAAACUGCUUACUAUAUAGUCACUUAGUCACAUGUGGCUAUUGAGCACUUGCAAUGUGGCUGUUCCAAAUUGUGACGUGUUGUUGUAUGUGAAAUACACUUUGUACCCAUUCUAAGCCUGGUACAAAAAAAAUAAAGGAUCUCAUUAAUAGUUUUUAUGCUGAUUAGAUAUUGAAACGAUAACUAUAUAUAUCUGGAUUAAAUAAAAUAUAGUAUUAAAA